UACCUGCCGGGCUGGAACAACCCUGCUCCCCCUGCCCCCAACACCUGCUGUAAGGCUGCGUCAAGAUCAGUGCUAGUUGUGCCACAUAAGCAGGAACGCAGGAUGCUAUUUUUGACAUCUCUUCCUGCUGCCAUGGUUUUGUUACCUGCUGCCUGAAAGCCUGGAUUGGGUACAUUUAAUACAACCAGUUGCUGCAGCAAAGCAUUUCUUCUUGCUGGAACAGGAACUCCAGUUUCAACUAUGGCUGCGUCAAGACAUACUGGGAUUUGUCAUGCCAACGCUAAACUGAGUCUAAGCUUCAGCCCUUUGUAUGGGAUCUAUUUGCAGAAAGAGGAAGUUACUGUACUGAAAACAGGCACUCAGUGCUUGGCUGCAUAACCUUCUUAGAGAUCAGGCUUCUCAAAAAAAGGGAAUGUUGUCUUACUUCAAAAGCUUUAUGAAAUGCAAACUCAGUUAAAUUCAGUUAAACCUUUCAAGUUUCUCCUUUGUUUGGCUCUAGUAAACUAGUGAUUGACUUAAAAAAAAAAGCUGUAACUAAUAACUGAGGGAAGGAAAAACUAAUGUUACUACCGUAUGUACAGGAUGUCUGUCACUUCAAAAUAAAAUUUAUACUUUGAUUUAGCAUCAAGAUCA